AGAGUUUGAUCCUGGCUCAGGACGAACGCUGGCGGCGUGCUUAACACAUGCAAGUCGAACGGAAAGGCCCUUCGGGGUACUCGAGUGGCGAACGGGUGAGUAACACGUGGGUGAUCUGCCCUGCACUUUGGGAUAAGCCUGGGAAACUGGGUCUAAUACCGAAUAGGACCACGCGCUUCAUGGUGCGUGGUGGAAAGCUUUUGCGGUGUGGGAUGGGCCCGCGGCCUAUCAGCUUGUUGGUGGGGUAAUGGCCUACCAAGGCGACGACGGGUAGCCGGCCUGAGAGGGUGACCGGCCACACUGGGACUGAGAUACGGCCCAGACUCCUACGGGAGGCAGCAGUGGGGAAUAUUGCACAAUGGGCGCAAGCCUGAUGCAGCGACGCCGCGUGAGGGAUGACGGCCUUCGGGUUGUAAACCUCUUUCAAUAGGGACGAAGCGCAAGUGACGGUACCUAUAGAAGAAGCACCGGCCAACUACGUGCCAGCAGCCGCGGUAAUACGUAGGGUGCGAGCGUUGUCCGGAAUUACUGGGCGUAAAGAGCUCGUAGGUGGUUUGUCGCGUUGUUCGUGAAAACCCACAGCUUAACUGUGGGCGUGCGGGCGAUACGGGCAGACUAGAGUACUGCAGGGGAGACUGGAAUUCCUGGUGUAGCGGUGGAAUGCGCAGAUAUCAGGAGGAACACCGGUGGCGAAGGCGGGUCUCUGGGCAGUAACUGACGCUGAGGAGCGAAAGCGUGGGGAGCGAACAGGAUUAGAUACCCUGGUAGUCCAA
rnacentral:rRNA from 1 species